CGAUUUUAACGCGAGUUCAAACGUGCGUGUUUACUACGUUCGCUUAUUAAUUUCCGCUUAUAUUUUUCUUAAAAGCAUUAUUUAACGUAAUAUUAAUACAUCAUAAUAUCAACCUAUUAACUUACAAGACUUCCAAAGUUACGAUGAUGAAAUUAUGUAUCGUUACAUCGUAAAUAGAUCCUGUAGAUCCAAUUAUCGGCAGAGAAAUAGUCGGAAUUACUUGAAGUAGACGAACAGGAAGAGUAAUCGGUCGAGUGGUCGUCGGGAUACGACGUCUAAGUAUAGAAAUUGGGCCGAUCGCUGCCACGUCAUCGUUAAUUAAAUCGAGCCCGGUGAUUCAGGAGAGACGACCUUUUGGCGAGAACCGGUCGUUUGUGUACGGCGGUUCUUCGUUCAUUGCUUCCAGGCGCCGUUGACAGGGUCGAUGAGGUUUGCCAACGUUCUUAGUCGCGGCGGAUAUAAUUGCUUAAUAUCCUUUGGUCGAUCGAUGUCCUCUACCAACGUCCAACAAUGAAUUUCUCAUUACUUAACGACAGUUUCAGUUACCAAGAGAAUACGCGUUUAUGUAUUAUCGAUCGAAAGUAUCGAUAAACGUUAAAGAUAAUUUUGAUAUCAAAGCGACGAUCAAUUUUACGAUUGUUUAUCCGUGAAAAUCAGAUCGAUCGAAGAUCACGAUCAAAGCCCGUGUCAUGAGAUAUCAUUUAUUCGUUCUGAUUAUCAGAAGAAAAGAAUAAAAAAAGAAAAGAAAAAAAAAAAGAAAAAAAAAAAAAGAAAAAAAAGAUUAUAUUUUAUAUAAUACUCUAUGAAACUGUGGGAGACCUUUGCUCGUAUGCAUUCCUUGGAGCUUGUUUCGAGGCUUCCGCGUGGUUUCGGGCCGUGCGAAGAUGAAGAUAUUAAAAUCGAAAUUUUGUGGGCCGAGAUAAAAAGAAUGCGGUGGAAGAAAAAAGGAGAUACGGAACGAGGUGGAGGAGGGAAGCAAGGGGAAAAAAAGGAGGCGAGUAGAAGGUAGAAGAAAGAAAGAAAGAACGAAAGAAAGAAAGAAAGAAAGAAAGAAAGAAAGAAAGAAAGAAGGAGAAAUAAAAGGAGAAGGAAAGGAGAGAAAAAAGAAAUGAAAAAGGAAAAGAAGAAGACGGAGAAGAAUAAGAAGAAGAAGAAGAAGGAGACGAAGAAGAAGAAGAAGAAAAGAAGGAGCAAGACGACAGACUGCACCGGCCCACCCGUGCGAGAUGAUGGCCACGACGUGAAAUCGCGUGAGGAUCCUUUGGGAGUAAACAAAUCAAUUCCAGCCGGGACACGUUUAUGCUCAGGAUCGUAAAUUAUCAUUAAGGUGAUUGCCUACCAGCAGUAGUACACACAUAUGCACGCAAACACCCACACGUAUGUACGCGUACACACACACACACACACACACACACACACAUAUAUAUAUAUAUAUAUAUGUACACACACAUACAUACGCACACACAUAUACAUAGGAGACUGCACGCAUAUGGAACGUCAGUAAUCCGGCAAACACGCGCCUCACGCUCCUUCGCAUCGACCUCACGCAUGAGGGUUAUGAGGAUCGUUCAGACGACGAUC